CAAGACAUGGUAAAAUAGUCACAUCCCAAGCAUCCUCAAAGUGCUCCAAAGGAAAGCAAGCUGUGAAGGUGAGAAGCAAGUGGACAGGUGAUGAAGUGAAAGCUGUUGAGCGGCAUUUGCUUAAUUUCAUAACAAGCUGCAGAAUACCAGGUAAAAAGGACUGUGACUCCUGCCUCCAAGCAGAGCCAGUAGCUCUGAAAGACAGAGACUGGGUUGCUAUCAAAUACUACAUCCACAACAGAAAUGUAGCAUUAAAAAGGAAGAUGAAUAGAUAGAACUAGAGCAUGCCAACUGUAGCUCAGGUACCAUUCAAUUCCAAUUUCAAUCAGCUUCUCCUCAGAUAGUGUUAAUAUCUGUGGGUUUCAUGUUCAUAUUAUUUUAUUUCCCUUAAAUGAUUUAUAUUGUUGGUUCUUGUACAAACAUGCCACAUAGGCUCGACUGUAGAUCCCACAUGUUUGUAUGUUUAUGUAUAAUUGAGGGCUAUUAAUGAGCAUAUGUUUGCUACUUAUGGUCAAAUUUUUUUGGGAUAACAGUUGAUGAUAUAGGUUAAUACUCUGCUCUCAUUGACAGGGAAAAGAGAUAAACAGUACUUAAAGGGAUUGUUAUUGUUCCUAAGUUUUCAGAAGCACUUUGUUCUUAACCACAAGUUGUUGAAUGUGGCAAGGUGUUUAAAUUACUGUUAAACUAUUACCAUUUCAAUGGGUGCUUGUAACAGGCCUUGUGUAUGGUAACUUGCACUAUGUAACUAUGAUGUAAAUCCCUAUGUUAUUUAGACAGGUUAGCUGAAUGUACACUGUCAUGUUUCAUAGAAGCUGGAUGCUUUAAUAGAGAGUUUCUCAUUCAUUUCAAACAUGCCAUUUCUACUGCCUUGUGCAUAGCAGGGAAGGAGGCAAAGUGUAGGUGGUCUAUUCUGGGUGUUCAAUUGAUUUGUUAAUUUGCAUAUUUUCGCUGGCACUCAAUAAAAGUAAGGCAUAAAGUGUU